rnacentral:rRNA from 1 species
CCUACGGGAGGCAGCAGUGGGGAAUAUUGCACAAUGGGGGAAACCCUGAUGCAGCGACGCCGCGUGAGUGAAGAAGUAAUUCGUUAUGUAAAGCUCUAUCAGCAGGGAAGAAAAUGACGGUACCUGAGUAAGAAGCCCCGGCUAACUACGUGCCAGCAGCCGCGGUAAUACGUAGGGGGCAAGCGUUAUCCGGAUUUACUGGGUGUAAAGGGAGCGUAGACGGCAGUGCAAGUCUGGAGUGAAAGGCGCGGGCUCAACCCGCGGACUGCUCUGGAAACUGUACGGCUGGAGUGCAGGAGAGGUAAGUGGAAUUCCUAGUGUAGCGGUGAAAUGCGUAGAUAUCAGGAGGAACACCAGUGGCGAAGGCGGCUUACUGGCAUGUAACUGACGUUGAGGAUCGAAAGCGUGGGUAGCAAACAGGAUUAGAUACCCGGGUAGUC